rfam:Schistosoma rodhaini strain Burundi genome assembly, scaffold: SROB_scaffold0001711
AUCCAGCUGAUGAGUCCCAAAAUAGGAUGAAACGCGCGUCCUGGAU